rnacentral:rRNA from 1 species
GCGGGCUGGAAUCUCUCGGGGUUACAGCCUUGCUGAAUUAUUCACCCUUGUCUUUUGCGUACUUCUUGUUUCCUUGGUGGGUUCGCCCACCACUAGGACAAACAUAAACCUUUUGUAAUUGCAAUCAGCGUCAGUAACAAAUUAAUAAUUACAACUUUCAACAACGGAUCUCUUGGUUCUGGCAUCGAUGAAGAACGCAGCGAAAUGCGAUAAGUAGUGUGAAUUGCAGAAUUCAGUGAAUCAUCGAAUCUUUGAACGCACAUUGCGCCCUUUGGUAUUCCAAAGGGCAUGCCUGUUCGAGCGUCAUUUGUACCCUCAAGCUUUGCUUGGUGUUGGGCGUCUUGUCUCUAGCUUUGCUGGAGACUCGCCUUAAAGUAAUUGGCAGCCGGCCUACUGGUUUCGGAGCGCAGCACAAGUCGCACUCUCUAUCAGCAAAGGUCUAGCAUCCAUUAAGCCUUUUUUCAACUUUUGACCUCGGAUCAGGUAGGGAUACCCGCUGAACUUAAGCAUAUCAAUAAGCGGAG